GAAUGGCUGAAUGCCAUGUAUUUCUAUCAGUAAUUCACACAGCCAGACACCAGCAAAGCAGAGUCUUUCUUUAAGGUGACUGGUGCACUGUUUUCUAUGAUAUAUCACUAAAAGUAUGUACAAAG